GGCCAGACUCCUACGGGAGGCAGCAGUGGGGAAUAUUGCACAAUGGGGGAAACCCUGAUGCAGCGACGCCGCGUGAGCGAUGAAGUAUUUCGGUAUGUAAAGCUCUAUCAGCAGGGAAGAAAAUGACGGUACCUGACCAAGAAGCCCCGGCUAACUACGUGCCAGCAGCCGCGGUAAUACGUAGGGGGCAAGCGUUAUCCGGAUUCACUGGGCGUAAAGGGAGCGCAGGCGGCACGGCAAGUCUGAUGUGAAAGCCCGGGGCUCAACCCCGGGACUGCAUUGGAAACUGCCGGGCUGGAGUGUCGGAGGGGUAAGCGGAAUUCCUAGUGUAGCGGUGAAAUGCGUAGAUAUCAGGAGGAACACCGGCGGCGAAGGCGGCCUGCUGGACUGAAACUGACGUUGAGGCUCGAAAGCGUGGGGAGCAAACAGGAUUAGAUACCCUAGUA
rnacentral:rRNA from 1 species